CUGUGCUCUGUGCCUGCUAAAAUAUUGAUGUUCUUCCCCUUUGCUCCUUUCUCUGAUUUAAGUAAAAUGCAAAUCCAGCCACUGGUGUACUGAAGCAGGAUGAAUUCUUAUAUUUCAUAUUACUUUCAACAAUGCAAAUUACUAUUCUGACAAUCAUCCAUCAUGUAGUAGGGUUGCCCAAGAAAUUUAGCUAUGCAAGUACAAAAUCUGUCAGUAUCAGAGUUACUUACACCACAACAUUCUGGAAAAUUCAAGACCAGUCUAUGCAGCCUGCCUGCACUGAAGAGCAUGGAAUGAGUUGUGCAGGAAAGUAGAAGCCCAAGAACUUGUUUGAGCUAAAGAGAAGAUUGAAAUCCUUGGUUCCCCCACUGGAGAAGCCUCCACCUCCAUGGCAGCCCUUGCUGUUGAGCAGCUGAAGCAAACAGAUCCACCAGUGUUUUAUUUAUUUAGUGCAUUGCCAGCGCGCGGGCUGCACUCCAUCACGGUGACGGCUGAAUCCAUCAUCCCCUACCUGCAGCUAUAAUAGGAGUGCUCUCAAAUCAACAAGUCUUUCCUUCAGAGUAACUGAACUGUAAAUUGUCCUUGACCAGUCAGACAAACAAAAACAACCUUCCCUGUUAAUCUGCUGAAGACAAACGGCUCGGUGUCUCCCCUGCUGCCCAGAAGGAUGCUGGUGGCAGGGCUGGUUUCUGGCUCGGUGUCUCUCCUGCUGCCCAGAAGGAUGCUGGUGGCAGGGCUGGUUUCUGGCUUGGUGUCUCCCCUGCUGCCCAGAAGGAUGCUGGUGGCAGGGCUGGUUUCUGGCUCGGUGUCUCCCCUGCUGCCCAGAAGGAUGCUGGUGGCAGGGCUGCUGUAGGUGCCACGUCCCUCACCGGGGCCGUGCCGCCCCCGGGUUCGCCAGCUCCGUGAGGGAUAGAGGAGGAGAUGCAACCCGACCUCUAAAAAUGUAAAUAAUCAUUUUGUUUCUAGGGUCACGGGGCUGGUUUUAGUGAAAAUGAGGUUUCCUGGAUCCUUAGGAGAUAUUAGAGAAAUAGAAGUUUUUUCUGCUGGAUAGAGGGAACUUGCAGUACCACAGGCAUGACAUCUGGAUAAUCUUAUGUCAAACACAGGCAAGUUUUUACUCUUGUGCUUGAUCAGGAAACCAAUUUCAUAAAGCACAGUUAAAAAAUUGACUAAUGAUGCCUAGGUUUCGCUUUUCUGAAUUUCUAGUUCAUACAUAGGUACAUAAAUUACUGGAAAUAUUUUUUAUUAGAUCAUUUUCUGUGCUUCUUGUGGCGGCAACUGAGUGCAAAUAUUUUCUCUCUCCUCGUCACUCUUUGUAGCUGACUUUUUAAGGUGUUUUACCAAAAAAAGCAUUCCUGAAAGGCUCCAUUAAAGAAAUGCUGACACAUUAUGUUACAGUAUGUUACAGUAUCUUGGGUUCUAUCAGUCACAUUUCAUUACUUUUACAUAACAUGGCUCUAUUGAUGCAACCUGAUGUGACAUGUCACACUGCAGUGUCAGCGACAAACUUGGGCUAAAAAAGUUUUCCUCCUUAAAACCCCUGCCUUGACAAAACACAGGAGGGAUGACUACGCACAUUCCUUUAUUUAUCACCACAAAUAAAUAAUUUAAAUGAAGGCUAACACCACGCCUGUGUGUUAGUGUAUAAUUCCACAUUUGUGCACACUAUGUGCAAAGUGGGUAAUUGUUGGAGUGUUUUACUACUGGCACAUCUUUAUUCAGAACAUCCAGAGGUGUCUGGGUCAACAGCUUCCUAUUUAUUCAAAUUUAUAUUGACUAGCUUCAGAAGGCAAAGCUGACAAAAUGAUUAAUUAGACUUUAUAACUCAUUGGCAGCCUGCAGUUUAAUGGAAUUAGCAGAGCUUAAGUUCAUCUUUAAAUACCAUGACGGUUUUAAUUUUAAAAACGUCAAAUUACAUUUUUCAGUCAGCACCAAAUACAAGAUGACUUGUUCCAAACUUAUGGGAAACCCAAAAAGGCUAAACAGGCAGCAUGUUUAAUUUUGGAUUUUUAUGACAAUUUAAAUCUUUAAGGAACAGAUUAAUUUUUUUCUUUUCCCCCACAUUAAACUGCUGCACCCCUUGGGUAGGCAGCGAGUUGAGCAGGUAUGAAGGAUUUUAUAGAGUUGGCAUGUAGGAUUUUGUGAUCUAAUAAAUGGACAAUUUCAACAAAAAUAGGGUCAAACUCUACAAGGUGGAUGCAAAACAGUUAAAAAAAUCAGUAAUAAUGAUGGCAUUUUGGUCUUAAAUGUGAAAAAGGUCUACCUAGCCCUCCACAGGGGACAUGGCUGCAAGGGGUGUCACAUGUGUUUGUUGCAUUGCCAACUCUUACUGUAAACUAUUUCAAUUCAAAUAUUCCUAUUUAAGCAAUAUUAUGACAUUAAAAUAUUUAUAUUCUGUUAUGUCUGUGAUAUUAUACAAUAAUAUUCAUGGUGAUUCAUACUGACAAGGUCUCAAUUUAUUUCAACAAAGCAGUGGAUCUCCAGGACACACAAGCUGCUGGAAUUCUAGAUAGCCUUGCUGAUGUGCCAAAAUUAAAAUCAUAGAGAAGCACUUUUAGCACCUGCCUGUACUGCAUCGAUCUGAAAGUAAAGCAUGGCACUAUUUUUAAAGAGUUUUUCACUUUUUCAAGGCAAAGUUAGAAACUCCCAAUUAAUACACACACAGCACACCUCCUUUUAUGCUUGUAAAAAGUAUUUUAAAUGGUGUGGUUACCACUUGACUUGGUACCAAAUUAAGUGUAAAAAAUGUGCAGUUUUUGGGGUAAGCAGAUACUUCCCAAAAUCUGCAUCUCAGUAGAAAUGAAAUUUUUGUCAGCUCUUGCAACAGUGAACAAAUGCCCACAAAGUUCAGAACACUCCAAAGCACAUAACACAAGCUCAGUUUUAUAACAGAAAAGUGUCAUUUUUAUGGAAUGCAGCACAAACCUCACUGUAUUUCAGAUACUUUGAAUUAGAAAAGAAAAUAGAAUGCACACUGAACACCUUUGAUGAAGCCAGAAAUGCAUCUACAACACGUAAAUAGGCUUCCAAGAAACUGCAAGGCAUUAUAGAAGCAUAAAACCCACAAAGCUGGUGUAUAAAAAUGCUGGAAACUCAGGAAAGGGGUGCAUAUGUAUUCCCAUAAUGUGUAACAAAAAACUUUCCUAACUUCUCUGGCUAUAGCUGUAUGUCAUGAGACAGGAAUUGCUGUGAUUCCACGAAUUAGCAGGGAAAUGAUUUCCAAAGGAAAAUGAUGCACUCACUUCUGAACAGUGUGACACUGCAUCUUUGUUUAUCCUCCCUUCUCAGCUAUGAGAUUCCAGGUUCCCUCUGAACCUGCAGAAUAUUGGGAAUAGACCUGGUCUGAUGUGCUGACCAAGAGGAAACUGCAAACCCACAGAGCUGCAGUUUCAAGGGGUUGUUCCAGACAAUUCAUUUUCCUGCAACAUUGAUGGAAUUCCCUCUUCAUUCCAGGGACUGGACAGAAUUUUCUUCCCAGACAGACUGGAACUAGCAGAGUGUGAUGGCAGGGAAACAGAAAAUGGCCAGGGGGGGGUCUGUGUCCAUCUAUGGGUUCUCAUAAGCAAUGGUGACACGUGGAUAAGGAAAACAGAUCCCUGGAAACAAAAUUAAAUGAGAUGCAGCAGAAAUUUGCAGAAAUUGGGAUUUGAUCAUGCUAAGUCAAGAGGUAACAGGGAAGUAAAGCACUGCCUGUUAGCAGUGCAAUAUCUGAGCAUGGGUUUUACAGAAAAUGCCACCAGACAGGGCUGAUGGUCCUUCAGGAAGAGGCAAUUUUCCACUUAAAUGCAUGUGAAUAUUAACCUGUGUAGUGCUGUGCAAAUGAAGAAGGCAAUCUAUAAGGGACUUGGAGCAGGCACUCUGAAUGAGACUCAAAAGAGCCAAUUCAGCAUACAGGGGAUACAUGGCUGAUCAUAGAGCCAUAAUGAAGAACAAUAUCCCUUUGAUGUUAAUUAGUUGCACUUGAUAGGGCAAUGCUAGAGAGGCUUUACAGCAGUGGAGUAAGGAAAAUCAGAACCUCAAUAAAGCCUUCAGCGUGCUAAAAGCAAUGUGGAUUUUUUAAAAAGCCAACCAAAACAGGAGCCCCUAAUUCACUGGAUCAUCCAACCUCCAGAGAAUGAGGAAAGAUUUCAUAGAAAGCAGAAACAGAAAUAUCAAAGGUACAAUUUUGCCAGAAACGUCUACAUUUCUUUUUCUUUUCCAUCCCACUGUAAUAAUACCCUUUGCCUCUUUUAUAAUCCACUUUUUCCUUCCCCAAAGCCCAUGGAGCACAAACAGGGUUACCCAGCCUGGCAAAUUGUCCCCAUCCAAACACUGAACUUGCUCCCUGCUCCUGGAUCUCCCUCCUUUGCUCUCUGUGGGUCCAGCCAGACACAAAGUGCUCAAAGCUGAGUAUUCCUGCUUUGGUGUGAGGCUUAAAAAACCCAAAUCCAUUUGAAAAUCAGGAUUUCAGUCACUGUUGAACACUUGUGCUGAAGACAGGCAAAGCAGGGGCUCUGACUUGCCCCUACACCUUGGUGUUCUUGGAAAACAAGAAUUGCUGCUGCUUCUCUGCCUUGAAAAUCCCUUGGGAGGGCCCAGCUGAGGGUCACGAGGACAGAAGAGAAGUACACAUGGGGAAAAGCAAUGGAAGAACAAAGGAAUAAACCAUGCCAUAAAUAGUCCAAAAAUCAGAUCAGCAAAAUAUUUCACUGAAUGAGCUCUAUAAAAUGUCCAAAACUCUACUAAACUACACUUUCAACCUUUCUAUUAUAGAAAAAGUCUUCAGAUUGGGUAAUUUUGUGAGUUAAAAAUCAAACCAAAAUUAUCCUAAAUAUCAAGUACAGAUUAAAAUCAUGGUAGAAAAAUCCCAUAUUCUUACUGUUAAAUGUUAAACUUUUGAUAUCCCAACACAUUUGCAGUGAUUGUGUUUGCAGCAUUAGUUUGAUCCAAAAAAUAAGAAAGCAACCUUAAGCAUUUCUUAUUAAAAAACCCAACCCCCUCCAAAAACCAGAUCAUACUUUGAUUUAGGUUCUUAUCAGCUGAUAGCCUUAACUUCAUGGCUAUGUAAGAAGAUGGAGGGAAUGAUUUAUUGUUGACUGUCAUUCUUUCUGGAGAUGAAUAAUCUUCUUCCUCAGUAUUAAAGUGGCUUUCAGGCAAAUCAAUCAACCAUAGAUCAUGU